AUCGAACGCUAGCGGGAUGCUUUACACAUGCAAGUCGAACGAGUGGCGGACGGGUGAGUAAUAUAUCGGAACGUGCCCAGUAGCGGGGGAUAACUACUCGAAAGAGUGGCCAAUACCGCAUACACUUGGAUCGGCCGAUAUCGGAUUAGCUAGUUGGUGGGGUAAAGGCUCACCAAGGCGACUAUCCGCAGCUGGUUGGAGAGGACGACCAGCCACACUGGGACUGAGACACGGCCCAGACGCCUACGGGAGGCAGCAGUAGGGAAUUUUGGACAAUGGGCGCAACCCUGAUCCAGCCAUCCCGCGUGUAUGAGAAGGCCUGCGGGUUGUAAAGUACUUUUGGCAGAGAAGCGGUAUCUGCAGAAUAAGCACCGGCUAACUACGUGCCAGCAGCCGCGGUAAUUC
rnacentral:rRNA from 1 species